ACCUAUACUAAAAGGGUUAUAUGAGCAUCAGAGAGUGUGUCCACGUAGGACAAUUAAAUCAUCCAAUCAGAGAACAGCUCUCCGCCACGUCAUAUACGCAUGACAAAUUCUAAUUUCCCCAAAAUCGAAUCUCGAUCCCUUUCUCUUCGUCUUCUCCGUCUGCUAUUUUAGAUCAAAACCAACUUGCUCGACUGGUCUUGCAGCGACGAAUCACCCGCGAGGCAUAGUCUUAUCUUCCGCGGUUUGAUCCCUGUGCUGUACGCAGGGUCGGCAAGAGCCUCGCACGAUGAAUCGACAGAAGAAGCUAUUGAGUUUGCGACUCAGCAGGGGAAAGAGAAGGAGCUGUGCAAGACUGGAGACUCCGUUGUUGCUCUACUCCGAGUUGGGAACGCUUCCCUAAUCAAGAUCUUGACCGUUAAGUGAUGAUGAUUAGGAAAAAUCCCGUUUUUGGCGUCUGGCGUUUGGAGGAAACGCAACUAUAUACGUUUUUCUUAAUAUGAAUUUUGUUCAAGAUUUGUGAUUAAAAUCUUGAGAUAGAAAACUCAAAUUCUCUUUCUUGAUAAUUACAACUGUGGUGACCCGUGUGAAUCCACUUACGGUUUUUUUUUUCUGGAUACUCAGGUGGUUGUAUGGAACUAAUGAAUCGUACACGUAUCUCUACUAUCAUGACUUUUUUUUGUUUUUUUGUUUUGUUUUGGUGAAGUUUGAUGCUUUGGUUGCAGCCCUUCCGUUAUCAGACUGAGGUGAAGAAACUCAGUUGAAAAGAAUUGUUGAACUCCUGGUAAUAUAUGUCUCACUCACUGAUAAGUUGAGCUCGAUAAAUAAAUCAUUGCAUGUUCCCUUCUAUGCUAUUUUUCUUCAGGUGGAAAAUGAUGUUAUUGGCCAAGAGCUCUCUAACGAUUUACAUCUAUUCUGAUCCAACUGCUGCGGAACGUUUGUAUCGAAGAAAGAUGUCAUGUAGAAAAAGUCAUCAGCUGGGCAAGCACAAGGUUUAACAACCACUAAACCACUCAGUUGAGACAGUAGGAUCUCUUUCGUGUUGAUCAUACAAGCUUGCGAUAUAGAGCUAGAAGACAAAGCCAGAGAAGUAGCACAGCUGAAAACAGAGAGGUAGAGCUAGAGAGAAUUACGAGGCUGAAGCAUGUAGAGGCAGACAUAUCCCCAGCUAAAAGUUAACGAUGCAAAGCGGAGGCUGAUUGGUCGAUUAUUAAGGGCAUGGACAAUAUUCAAACGCUGGAUGCAAAAUUGUUUUCAGUAUUUUAUUUGCUAACGCCACCGUAUGUGCAGGUUGCAGAGUUUAAAUGCCUACUCGGUGUUAAAGCUAAUACCAAAGAAUGAAUACUAUGACAAAACUCUCCAGCUUCCAAAAGAAUUUGAUGCUACAACUGCUUGGUGACAGUGCACCAGUGUUGGAAGGAUCCUAGGUCUCAUUCAUCUUCUGUCUAUUUGGAAAUUAAACUUACUGAAGAAGUUGCAAGGGAUAAGCAAAGUUGCUUCUUCUUCAGGAAACAAGUUAGGUUGCAAGAAACACUGACACCAAAGAAGUUGCUUAUUCUAGCUCUUCAGGAAGCUGAGAGAAAUGGAAAUAGCAUAUAUAUUAUCUGCCUUAUCCGUG